GUUCGUCUUCAGGGGCAGGGUGAAAUUCCCGACCGGUGGUAAUAGUCCACGAACUAUGAUAUACCUGGUGUAUCAUAGCCGAUACGGUGUAAUUCCGUUACCGACAGUACAGUCUGGAUAAAGAAGAUAGGG
rnacentral:ncRNA from 2 species